AGGACGAACGCUGGCGGCGUGCUUAACACAUGCAAGUCGAGCGGAAAGGCCCUUCGGGGUACUCGAGCGGCGAACGGGUGAGUAACACGUGAGCAACCUGCCCUUAGCUUCGGGAUAGCUCCGGGAAACCGGAAUUAAUACCGAAUAUGACUUUGGCUGACAUCAGCAGAAGUGGAAAGUUUUUCGGCUAGGGAUGGACUCGCGGCCUAUCAGCUAGUUGGUGAGGUAACGGCCCACCAAGGCGACGACGGGUAGCCGGCCUGAGAGGGCGACCGGCCACACUGGGACUGAGACACGGCCCAGACUCCUACGGGAGGCAGCAGUGGGGAAUAUUGCGCAAUGGGCGAAGGCCUGACGCAGCGACGCCGCGUGGGGGAUGAAUGCCUUCGGGUUGUAACCCCUUUCAGCAGGGACGAAGCGAAAGUGACGGUACCUGCAGAAGAGCGCCGGCUAACGUACGCGCCAGCAGCCGC
rnacentral:rRNA from 1 species